CGACUCUCGGCAACGGAUAUCUCGGCUCACGCAUCGAUGAAGAACGUAGCAAAAUGCGAUACUUGGUGUGAAUUGCAGAAUCCCGUGAACCAUCGAGUUUUUGAACGCAAGUUGCGCCCGAAACCAUCCGGUUGAGGGCACGUCUGCCUGGGCGUCACG
rnacentral:rRNA from 2 species